CAAAACCAACCAGUGUGCCAACCAACCAAACAAAACUCCCACAAACCUCUUCUGAAGGUCUGAAAAAUAAAGACACGCCUCAUGAAAACGUCUGAGACUACCAACUGGAGUUUUCUAGAUUUCACAUACAAUGGGGCUCUGCCUUUCCUGAGAGCUCCAUCUAGGAUCUGGGUCUUGCUGUGGAAGUAGAAAGAAUAGACGUUGAGAGUAGCAUCCUGGUUCUCACACCCACUGAAAUCCGGAAGACUGACUCCUCUGAUGAGAGACUGCUUUCUGAUGAGGAGAUAAUCUUCUCCAUUUCCUUCUUGAUGCAUGGGUGAA